GGGACACGUGGUAUCCUGUCUGAAUAUGGGGGGACCAUCCUCCAAGGCUAAAUACUCCUGACUGACCGAUAGUGAACCAGUACCGUGAGGGAAAGGCGAAAAGAACCCCGGCGAGGGGAGUGAAAAAGAACCUGAAACCGUGUACGUACAAGCAGUGGGAGCACGCUUAGGCGUGUGACUGCGUACCUUUUGUAUAAUGGGUCAGCGACUUAUAUUCUGUAGCAAGGUUAACCGAAUAGGGGAGCCGAAGGGAAACCGAGUCUUAACUGGGCGUUAAGUUGCAGGGUAUAGACCCGAAACCCGGUGAUCUAGCCAUGGGCAGGUUGAAGGUUGGGUAACACUAACUGGAGGACCGAACCGACUAAUGUUGAAAAAUUAGCGGAUGACUUGUGGCUGGGGGUGAAAGGCCAAUCAAACCGGGAGAUAGCUGGUUCUCCCCGAAAGCUAUUUAGGUAGCGCCUCGUGAAUUCAUCUCCGGGGGUAGAGCACUGUUUCGGCAAGGGGGUCAUCCCGACUUACCAACCCGAUGCAAACUGCGAAUACCGGAGAAUGUUAUCACGGGAGACACACGGCGGGUGCUAACGUCCGUCGUGAAGAGGGAAACAACCCAGACCGCCAGCUAAGGUCCCAAAGUCAUGGUUAAGUGGGAAACGAUGUGGGAAGGCCCAGACAGCCAGGAUGUUGGCUUAGAAGCAGCCAUCAUUUAAAGAAAGCGUAAUAGCUCACUGGUCGAGUCGGCCUGCGCGGAAGAUGUAACGGGGCUAAACCAUGCACCGAAGCUGCGGCAGCGACGCUGAUGCGUUGUUGGGUAGGGGAGCGUUCUGUAAGCCUGCGAAGGUGUGCUGUGAGGCAUGCUGGAGGUAUCAGAAGUGCGAAUGCUGACAUAAGUAACGAUAAAGCGGGUGAAAAGCCCGCUCGCCGGAAGACCAAGGGUUCCUGUCCAACGUUAAUCGGGGCAGGGUGAGUCGACCCCUAAGGCGAGGCCGAAAGGCGUAGUCGAUGGGAAACAGGUUAAUAUUCCUGUACUUGGUGUUACUGCGAAGGGGGGACGGAGAAGGCUAUGUUGGCCGGGCGACGGUUGUCCCGGUUUAAGCGUGUAGGCUGGUUUUCCAGGCAAAUCCGGAAAAUCAAGGCUGAGGCGUGAUGACGAGGCACUACGGUGCUGAAGCAACAAAUGCCCUGCUUCCAGGAAAAGCCUCUAAGCAUCAGGUAACAUCAAAUCGUACCCCAAACCGACACAGGUGGUCAGGUAGAGAAUACCAAGGCGCUUGAGAGAACUCGGGUGAAGGAACUAGGCAAAAUGGUGCCGUAACUUCGGGAGAAGGCACGCUGAUAUGUAGGUGAAGUCCCUCGCGGAUGGAGCUGAAAUCAGUCGAAGAUACCAGCUGGCUGCAACUGUUUAUUAAAAACACAGCACUGUGCAAACACGAAAGUGGACGUAUACGGUGUGACGCCUGCCCGGUGC
rnacentral:rRNA from 1 species